ensembl:lncRNA COX10-DT COX10 divergent transcript
GGGCGGGCUCCGAAAGGAGAGCGUGGUGUCUGGAGGUGAUCGGAAGGGACUGGCUGGAGUGUGGCGGGCUGACAGGUCUGAGGCCUGAAGGACUUCCGGGAACCGCAAAGCACGGUGUGCCUCCGCUGUCCUGAAGAAAAAGCCGCGCGCGGACGACUGGCCGGCCCGCGCUUGCAGCUCCCAGAAGUUGACAGGCAUCCUCCGGUGACCGGUGUGAGUAUGGCAUCAGGAUGAUUUGACUGCAAGCAACAGAAAAAUCAAACAAAAAUGGCCUAAGCCAAGAAGAGAAAUGAUUAUUUCACAUUCCAAGAAGUUUGGGAGUCGAGUGGUUAAACGGCUAAUUAAUCUAGAGCUCAACAGUAUCACCCAGGACCCAUUUUCACUAUGGUGGCUAAAGCUCUGCACCCUUCAGGCUUGCACCAUGGCAGCAGCAGUGACAGUAAAGACACCCUUACACCACAAUGCUCCAUGACCAGGGAGAGGGUCUCCUCUCUCCUGCCCCUUUCUGGAGGCUCCACCGAAGAUUUCUCUUCACAUUCCGUUUCUCAUUCCUGAAGCAGUUGCUGGCAACAGGGAUGGACUUACCGCAAUGGGUACAGAGCAACUAAGAUUCACCACUAGCAGAUCUGCAUUGUAAGAAAAAUGAGAAGAAUUCCUUCAGGAAGAAGAAAAAUGAUACCAGAUGGAUAUGUGGAUCCACAUAAAGGAACGAAGAGCACAGGAAAUAGUAACUAUACUGUCUUGCUCUGUCACCCAGGCUGGAGUGUGGUGGUGCGAUCUUGGCUCACUGCUAGACUGGUUGGAUCCAGAGGACUCGGCAAUGAAGCAUGGACCCCUGUUGAAAGGAAAAAUUUCAAUUGCACAAGAAGAAAAUAUGCUGAAAUAGACUACAGAAUAUUUAGAUCUUGGCCACUGAGUGAAAAUAUGCUGGAAUAGACUACAGAAUGUUUAGACCCACCACUCUCCUACCGUAAAAUACAACCCGGUUCUGGUUGGAUUGGCCUUCACCUGCCUAACCUAUUUUCCUUGGUCUUUUCACACUCUGUGAUUUAAUAUUUAUUUCAAUUCCCUGAUUCAAACCAACCAUGUGUCCAGAGUGACUUUGUAAACCCAGUCCGGGCUGAACUGAGGCUGAAACUCCAAGUCCCUCUGGGCUUUUAAGGUUUACAGAUCUCAGGAGUGAACAUUUUCUUACCAAGUCACUGCUCUCAAAACAAACCCUGGAAUGGAAGCUUCAUUAUCUUGUGGCCAUCAGUCCACGUUUCUUCCCCUUCUGCCCUGUUGAGUUUAUGUGUGUUUUAUCUCCCUCCCGAGAGGGACUAUACUUUGUUGGUGUUAAAGUGAUCACGCUGGAGAGUUUAUAUAUUCUCUCAUUUUCAAAAAAAUCUAUCUUUGAUUCCUAAAUGCCUACAUUCACAGCACUUUACAGCUGAAAGUGGCUGAGGUUGGGGCAUUCGCUGGAACAUCUUGAGAGAGUGAAACUGAAGCUUCAGAAAGGCGAAGCGACUUACCCAAGACCAAGUGGCUAUUCCGUUUUGAGAGUAGUACCUUUUCCCAGUAACGGGGCUACAGGAAUGUGCCACCAUGCCCUGCUAAUUUUUAUUUUUAUUUUUUUUUUGGUAGAGAUGAGGCUUCAUCAUGUUGCCCAGGCUGGUCUCAAAAUCUCGGGCUCAAGUGAUCCACCCAUCUAGGCCUCCCAAAAUGAAAACUUUUUAUAUAGUGAAAAAUUAGUCCGGGCACAAUGGCUCACACCUGCAAUCCCAGCACUUUGAGAAGCAGAGGUGGGUGCAUCAGUUGAGGCCAGGAGUUCAAGACCAGCCUGGCCAACAUGGUGAAACCCAUAUCUCCUAAAUAUACAAAAAUUAGUCAGUCAUGGUGGUGCACCCCUGUCAUCCCAGCUACUCAGAAGGCUGAGGCAGGAGAAUCGCUUGAACCUGGGAGGCAGAGGUUGCAGUGAGCUGAGAU